rnacentral:lncRNA from 1 species
UGCCAAGAGAGUUUACUUACUCAGUCUGCUCACAGAGCAGCUUGGAAGUGCUGAGGAUUUCACAUCCGCCCUCCAUUUCAGUUCUCAACCACUGAGGGGUGACAUUCAGGGACUAAAUUCCAACUAUAUCUCCCCGGGAUUGUUCUCAGGGCCAUUCUGAGUUUCUCAGAGGGUUCCCAGAGAGAUUGAACCUCAGUUGCCUACCACAGUAACAUACAUAUCAAGGCAAGCUUUUUGGCUUUUAUUCUUUCAGGUCUAACUUUCCAUAUUCCCUCUCUUCCUUCCUUGGAUGGCUUUCCAAAUAAAUGACUUAUCUCCAAGUCCUUUUCUCAGAGUCUGCUUUUGGAGGAACCCAAAGGAAGAUGGAAAACUUCUCCCUUAUGGGAGAAGAGGAGACAAGAAGAAGGAAUAUUGCUUGAAGGUCAAGAAGAGGGUACAGAGCAGAACAAAAUGGAGGAAGUUUGUAGGGUUAGCUCUUUCACCCAUCCCACUGGCUACCAUCGUGGUACUUGCAGAAACCCUAGAUGCCACAUGUUGAAUACUAGCCCGGGUCUCCAAGUGACCGUGUGGAGGAGAGCAGCUUGCUGACCUGGAAUACCCACCUUGGACUGAACUAUGUGAGAAGGAAAUGACCUUCAUUGUUAAGUUUCUCGUAGCUGCUUAAUGCUUAGUUUAACUCACGUAUAUAUACAUAUAAAUACUUAUAUAUUUCCUUUGACUCCAUCCUGAUCUGUAACCUGUUUGGGCUGAUUUAGAGUAUCCCAGAUGAGUACAGACAGUUGGUAAAUGUUGUCCAUGCAGACAGUUUUUGUUGUUGGCCAGUUCAUGAAUUUAUCCACCCAUCCAUCCACUAAUUCAUCCAACCCUCAUGCCUACUAUUUUGAGAUCUGUGUUAAAAUGAUUUGUAUGUAUAAGUAUGUAUAAGUAAGUAUGUAUAAGACCCUUGGCUGGGGGAUAUCCAGGGAACAUGAGUAACCCAAAGAUGAAUUAUACUCAAGAACUGAAAGUUCUUGCUUUCAGGAGGCUCAUAGUCCAGAGACAUUAGGUGGAGACUAAAUCAUUGAAAUAAGGAUAAUUAGGAUAAAUUUUUAUUCUAGGAAUUUUUAAUUAAAUUUGAAAAAAGCUAGUUUUAUUUCUAUUAUUUUAUUAUUAUUGCUGCUAUUUUUUGAGAAUGCUCUUCCUGGUAAGUUUUUGUAUGCAUUUUUGAGACCAGUGUUUACAGAAGGACCCUUUAUAUUUAAUGGCAAUAAAACACGCAUGAGAAAAAAACA